rnacentral:rRNA from 1 species
GUCGAGCGGAGAUGAGGUGCUUGCACCUUAUCUUAGCGGCGGACGGGUGAGUAAUGCUUAGGAAUCUGCCUAUUAGUGGGGGACAACAUUCCGAAAGGAAUGCUAAUACCGCAUACGUCCUACGGGAGAAAGCAGGGGAUCUUCGGACCUUGCGCUAAUAGAUGAGCCUAAGUCGGAUUAGCUAGUUGGUGGGGUAAAGGCCUACCAAGGCGACGAUCUGUAGCGGGUCUGAGAGGAUGAUCCGCCACACUGGGACUGAGACACGGCCCAGACUCCUACGGGAGGCAGCAGUGGGGAAUAUUGGACAAUGGGGGGAACCCUGAUCCAGCCAUGCCGCGUGUGUGAAGAAGGCCUUAUGGUUGUAAAGCACUUUAAGCGAGGAGGAGGCUACUGAGACUAAUACUCUUGGAUAGUGGACGUUACUCGCAGAAUAAGCACCGGCUAACUCUGUGCCAGCAGCCGCGGUAAUACAGAGGGUGCGAGCGUUAAUCGGAUUUACUGGGCGUAAAGCGUGCGUAGGCGGCUUUUUAAGUCGGAUGUGAAAUCCCCGAGCUUAACUUGGGAAUUGCAUUCGAUACUGGGAAGCUAGAGUAUGGGAGAGGAUGGUAGAAUUCCAGGUGUAGCGGUGAAAUGCGUAGAGAUCUGGAGGAAUACCGAUGGCGAAGGCAGCCAUCUGGCCUAAUACUGACGCUGAGGUACGAAAGCAUGGGGAGCAAACAGGAUUAGAUACCCUGGUAGUCCAUGCCGUAAACGAUGUCUACUAGCCGUUGGGGCCUUUGAGGCUUUAGUGGCGCAGCUAACGCGAUAAGUAGACCGCCUGGGGAGUACGGUCGCAAGACUAAAACUCAAAUGAAUUGACGG